rnacentral:rRNA from 1 species
GAUGAACGCUGGCGGCGUGCCUAAUACAUGCAAGUCGAGCGCUGAAGGUUGGUACUUGUACCAACUGGAUGAGCAGCGGACGGGUGAGUAACGCGUGGGGAAUCUGCCUUUGAGCAGGGGACAACAUCUGGAAACGAAUGCUAAUACCGCAUAAUAACUUUAAACACAAGUUUCAAGUUUGAAAGAUGCAAUUGCUGCACUCAAAGAUGAUCCCCCGUUUUAUUAGCUAGUUGGGGAGGUAAAGGCCCACCAAGGGGAUGAUACAUAGCCGACCGGAGAGGUUGAUGGCCACAUCGGGAACGGAACCACGGCCCAGAUCCCUCCGGAGGGAACAGGAGGGGAACUUCGGCAAAUGAGCGAAAGCUGGACGAGGAAAGGCCGGGUGGGGGAGGAGGGUCUCGGAUUGUAAAAAUCCUUUUGUAGGGAAGAACGUUGGUGAGAGUUGAAAGCUCACCUAGUGACGGUAACUACACAGAAAGCGACGGCUAACUACGUG